rnacentral:rRNA from 1 species
GUUGGCAGCUAAACCACCUGCAGUUUAGACCAGGCAAUCCAUCUGAAGCUAAGCAGGUUUUGGGCCAGGCCAGUACUUGGAUGGGAAACCAGCAAGGAAAGCUGGGUUACUGCUGGAA